GACGAACGCUGGCGGCGUGCCUAAUACAUGCAAGUAGAACGCUGAAGGAGGAGCUUGCUUCUCUGGAUGAGUUGCGAACGGGUGAGUAACGCGUAGGUAACCUGCCUGGUAGCGGGGGAUAACUAUUGGAAACGAUAGCUAAUACCGCAUAAUAGCAGUUGUUGCAUGACAACUGUUUGAAAGGUGCAAUUGCACCACUACCAGAUGGACCUGCGUUGUAUUAGCUAGUUGGUGGGGUAACGGCUCACCAAGGCGACGAUACAUAGCCGACCUGAGAGGGUGGAUCGGCCACCCGGGAAUGGGGACAGGCCCCAGAUUCCAAGGGGAGGAACCGUAAGGAAUUUUUCGGCAUGGGACGGAGUCUGGACGAACCAAGGCGGGUGGAGGGAGGAAGUUUUUCGGAUGUUAAAGUUUGUUUUUAGGGGAAGAAGGGUGUGGGGAUUGAAAAGUCAAACCGUGACGGUUUUUUAACAGAAAAGGACGGCUAACUUCGUG
rnacentral:rRNA from 1 species